UCCAUUCCGAACUCAGAAGUGAAACGCUUCCGCGCCGAUGGUAGUGUAGGGUCUCCCUAUGCGAGAGUAGGUCACCGCCAGGC
rnacentral:rRNA from 2 species